rnacentral:rRNA from 1 species
GAUGAACGCUGGCGGCGUGCCUAAUACAUGCAAGUCGAGCGAACGGACGAGAAGCUUGCUUCUUUGAUGUUAGCGGCGGACGGGUGAGUAACACGUGGAUAACCUACUUAUAUGACUGGGAUAACUUCGGGAAACCGGAGCUAAUACCAGAUGAUAUUUUGAACCGCAUGGUUCAAAAGUGAAAGACGGUCUUGCUGUCACUAAUAGAUGGAUCCGCGCUGCAUGAGCUAGUUGGUAAGGUAACGGCUUACCAAGGCAACGAUGCGUAGCCGACCUGAGAGGGUGAUCGGCCACACUGGAACUGAGACACGGUCCAGACUCCUACGGGAGGCAGCAGUAGGGAAUCUUCCGCAAUGGGCGAAAGCCUGACGGAGCAACGCCGCGUGAGUGAUGAAGGUCUUCGGAUCGUAAAACUCUGUUAUUAGGGAAGAACAGAUGUGUAAGUAACUGUGCACAUCUUGACGGUACCUAAUCAGAAAGCCACGGCUAACUACGUG